rnacentral:rRNA from 1 species
CCUACGGGUGGCAGCAGUGAGGAAUAUUGGUCAAUGGACGAGAGUCUGAACCAGCCAAGUCGCGUGAAGGAUGACUGCCCUAUGGGUUGUAAACUUCUUUUAUAUGGGAAUAAAACGUUCCACGUGUGGGAUUUUGUAUGUACCAUAUGAAUAAGGAUCGGCUAACUCCGUGCCAGCAGCCGCGGAAAUACGGAGGAUCCGAGCGUUAUCCGGAUUUAUUGGGUUUAAAGGGAGCGUAGGUGGAUUGUUAAGUCAGUUGUGAAAGUUUGCGGCUCAACCGUAAAAGUGCAGUUGAAACUGGCAGUCUUGAGUACAGGAGAGGUGGGCGGAAUUCGUGGUGUAGCGGUGAAAUGCUUAGAUAUCACGAAGAACUCCGAUUGCGAAGGCAGUUCACUGGACUGCAACUGACACUGAGGCUCGAAAGUGUGGGUAUCAAACAGGAUUAGAUACCCUAGUAGUC